AUCUUCUCAAGGUAGGUUUAAGACGCCCCGGCUUUCAACCAAUCCAAUGUAUAGCUUACAGAAAACAGCCUGCCCCAUCAAAAUCAGCUUUUUAUAUUUCUAGCCUCGACUUCUCUUUCUCUUCCUCCUACUACUCCAGUCGGUGCCUUGAAGUUUGCCAACAACCUCAAGUCACAGGUCUGCAACAAAGCCCUAAAGAGGAGGAAGGGAUUCCAAAUUGGGUCAAGUUCUCUAUGGAGAUUGGUGGUGAUAGAUGAAUCCAAGUUCUCGCACAAGAGAAAGUACAAUCGUCGAAGGAUGGUGCCAACAUGGAGAAGACAGGGUUGGGUGUUUGGGGUGAUGGAGGUCAAACACAACAGACGGUGCCCAGUUCUUAAAAUGGUGGAAAACCGUUCACAGGAAACCUUAAUCCCUAUCAUCAGACGACAUUUGCGAAGAGGUUCCACCACCCAAAGUGACUGCUGGAGAGCGUAUGUCAGGUCUAUGAAUAGGGUGGGUUACAAUCACCAGACAGUCAACCACACAAACAACUUUGUGGAUCCUCACACAGGAUGUCACACACAACAUGUUGAAAGAGGGUGCCAGACAAUAAAGGGGCAGGUCUGGAGGCUAAGGGGCAAUCAGACCAAAAAAAGUUUAAAGAAGCAUCUCCAUUUUAUUAAGUGAUGUACUGGUUGGGUAAAAAAAAGGAGUACUCUCCACUCUUCAAAGACAUCCGAUUAGUAUAGUAGCUGUGAGAUUUUCACUCUCAACAUGCACCCCCUAGAGGAAAUGGAGCCGGGAGUACCCGGUGCCGGGUACUUUGCUGCCUCAAUUUAAAUAGCGGUCCAUACCGGCCCUUUAAAUACACGCAACCCCUGCAGGCUCUAUUUUGAUGAAAACAACAGAAUCUCAACAUUUCAUUUAUAUCAACCAAUACGAUGUCUUUG
rnacentral:lncRNA from 1 species